rnacentral:lncRNA from 1 species
CUUGACACAGGGUCAUUUUGACAUGACCUAAAUAUCAAGCCAGUAAGUUGUCAGUGUGUAUUGUGAUGCCUUAGCAUGCUGCAGGGAGAUGGGGAGGGGGUGACGGGACAUGUGCAGUAGCAUCAAGGAUGGAGGAGGCUCAGGACUAAGACACAGAAUGAGGAGAAGGUCAGAAAUAGUAAAGGGUCAGGGAUACCAUGGUUGCACUCAGUACUGUACACAACAGAACCACUGUUUUGUGUUGGAGGCAGGAAGCCUGCAGACACAGGAACGUGCAGAGGACAUUCUCUCAGAGCCAUGUCUUUGUGUUUUAUGGAGUGCUUUACAAAACACUCUCUGCCACAUUCCUCAGGCGCCAGUGGUCCCUCACAAGCUGAAUCCAACUGGAAUAUUUCCACAGGUGUAUCUAGGUCUCUAGGUAGGAUGUAAAUUGGGAGGCCCAACCAGCUAGAGGUGUAUGAGCUUGCAAAUGGCUGUUGCGAAGGCUCAGCCACCAUAUCCCAUCGGGCUGAGAAUUAAAAUAGCCUCCUCCCCCUACAUCACGUCCUGUAUGUGAUAUAUGAGCCCCAUGGCCUAAGUGGGAUAAUUAUUCUUCAUUAUAUAUGUGUGUGUGUGUGUGUGUGUAUGUGUAUGUAUGCAGAAUGUAUGUAUGUAUUAUAAACAAAGACAUGUUCAUUUUGGAAAUUUUAGAAAUUUCCUAGAAGGAACAGAAUAAUAAUCAAAAUUUGUCUUACUAUUAAUAUUGCAUAUUUGUCCUUGUCUUCUUCUAGGCAUAUAUUUAUCUCCACAUUUGUUGCCUUAGCAAUAUAUCACGACCAUUUUCCCAUGUCAUUAAAUCAUCUUCUACGGAAUCAUUGUUUAAGAUCUGUAAAGUAUGUCAUUACAUAGAUGUAUCAUAAUUUAUUAAUCUGUGCCUAUUGUUAGACAUUUGAACUAUUUUUGAAACAUAUUAUUAUAAGCAACAUUGCAAUUAACAUCCUUUUAGAAAUAUAGUGAGCACUAUCGUCAUUUCCUUGGGUAAAAGUUUUAGGUCCUGGUUAAAGGAGAAUUUUAAUGUUUUUGCUGAUGUUCUACAACACUGAGCAUUAUCAUUUUUAUGAUUAAUAUCUUUUUUAGGUUCCAAGACAGAGAUUGUAAUUGAUUUACUUUAAGCUUUUUUUCUUUCCAUACAAGUCAGAUUGACCUUUUUUUUUUCAUGCAUGCAUUGGCUAUUUGGAUUUCUUAUUGUGUGGAUUGCCUCCUCUUGCCCUUGGCCCAUUCUGUGUUACGAUGUUAAUGUUGGUGUAAUUACCUGUUGAGGGCUCAGGGUGUCCUACUUUAACAAAAAAAAAUGUCAUUUGCUGGCUAUAUAACUUCAUUCUUUUUUUUUUUUAAGAUUUUAUUUAUUUAUUCAUGAGAGACAGCGAGAGAGACA